UACGUAGGGGGCAAGCGUUGUUCGGAAUUACUGGGCGUAAAGGGCGCGUAGGCGGCACGGCAAGUCGGGAGUGAAAGCCCGGGGCUCAACCCCGGAGGGUCUUCCGAAACUGCCGAGCUAGAGUGCGGAAGAGGCAACCGGAAUUCCCAGUGUAGCGGUGAAAUGCGUAGAUAUCUGGAGGAACACCGGUGGCGAAGGCGGCAUCCUGGACCAUUACUGACGCUGAGGAGCGAAAGCCAGGGGAGCAAACGGG
rnacentral:rRNA from 1 species